rnacentral:rRNA from 1 species
UACGUAGGGCGCAAGCGUUGUCCGGAAUCAUUGGGCGUAAAGAGCUUGUAGGCGGUCUGUCGCGUCUGCUGUGAAAAUCCGGGGCUCAACCCCGGACUUGCAGUGGGUACGGGCAGACUAGAGUGUGGUAGGGGAGACUGGAAUUCCUGGUGUAGCGGUGAAAUGCGCAGAUAUCAGGAGGAACACCGAUGGCGAAGGCAGGUCUCUGGGCCACUACUGACGCUGAGAAGCGAAAGCGUGGGGAGCGAACAGG